rnacentral:rRNA from 1 species
UGCGGAGGAGGCAAGCGUUAUCCGGAAUUAUUGGGCGUAAAGCGUCCGCAGGUGGCUAUUCAAGUCUGCGGUCAAAGACUGGGGCUUAACCCUGGAAAGGCCGUGGAAACUGAAGAGCUAGAGUGCAGUAGGGGUAGAGGGAAUUCCCGGUGUAGCGGUGAAAUGCGUAGAGCUCGGGAAGAACAUCGGUGGCGAAAGCGCUCUGCUGGACUGCAACUGACACUCAGGGACGAAAGCUAGGGGAGCGAAUGGG